AAAUAACCAAUCAUCAUGAUGAAUCAUACUACUCUGUUACAGGAAUUCCUUUCUGUUUGGAAAUUUCUGCAAAUUCAUCUGGUUUGUCGAUAACCUAACACAAAGCGUUUCAAUGAAUAAAGGAAAGCAAAACUUAUUUAUCUGUUUAAUCUUAUUUUUUAAAAACCUUCAAGUUUCUUUAAUUUAAUACGUACUGCAUUUAAAUGUAUUAUUUUUCAUCAACAAUAAAGAAUUCACACAAAAAUUUAUGUUUUUAAAUAUUUUGGAUGUCUUUUUUUAGCAAGAGAGGACUUAUUCAAGAUACAUUGCCCUUGUUUUGCAGUAAUUAGUCAAUUCUUACUGUUUACUUAGGCUAAGACUGUGUUCUUCUUUAUUUUUCACGUAUAAAAAAACUAAAGUCUAAAUUAUGUUCGCCAUUUAAUAAACUUUUAGUCUACUUUGGAAAAAAGAAAUUCAUGUGUUUUUACUACCAAUUUCGUUUUAUAACUUACUAUUUUAAGACUAGAUCUUCGAUUUCAGACAUUUAAACACAGUAAACACACCGGUACUCGCCUUAA